rnacentral:lncRNA from 1 species
CGGGGUGUGCCAGUGUGGGUACUUUCAUAUGACUGGUGUGUCCAGUUGUCCACUUUCAUAUGACGUGGUGUGUCCAGUGUGGGUACUUUCAUAUGACGUGGUGUGUCCAUUGUCCACUUCAUAUGACGUGGUGUGCCCAGUGGGGGUACUUCAUAGGACGGUGUGUCCAGUUGCCCACUUCAUAUGAUGUGGUGCGCCCAGUGGGGUACUUCAAGGACGUGGUGUGUCCAGUGUGGGUACUUUCAUAUGACGUGGUGUGCCCAGUGUGGGUACUUUCAUAUGACGUGGUGUGUCCAGUGGUACUUUCAUAUGACGGGGUGUGCCCAGUGUGGGGACUUUUCUAUGACGUGGUGUGUCCAGUUGUCCACUUUCAUAUGACGUGGUGGUGUGUCCAGUUGUCCACUUUCAUAUGACGUGGUGGUGGUGUGUCCAGUUGUCCACUUUCAUAUGACGUGGUGGUGGUGUGUCCAGUUGUCCACUUCAUAUGACGUGGUGGUGUGUGCCAGUUGUCCACUUUCAUAUGACGUGGUGGUGGUGUUCCAGUUGUCCACUUUCAUAUGACGUGGUGGUGGUGUCCAGUUGUCCACUUCAUAGACGUGGUGUGGUGGUCCAGUUGUCCACUUUCAUAUGAGUGGUGGUGUGUCCAGUGUGGGUACUUUCAAUGAGGGUGUGUCAGUUGCCACUUUCAUAUGAUGUGGUGUGUCCAGUGUGGGUACUUUCAUCACCAUGUUUUUGAAUGAACAAAGUGCCUUGGCCUGAACCUGCCCAUGGUUACUCUGUCUGUGUGUGUGUUUGGUCUUUCUUU